AAUAAGAUGUGACUGUCCUCUAAUACUAAUUUUGGUAUGGCCAGGCAUUUGUACAAAUCCUGGAAUACAGUGGAUGUUUGCUGAAUGUUUGUGGAAUGAAUGAAUUCCUCAGGUUACUCAUUGUAAGAACUACUGCCUUUGCACAGAGAACCCAUCUGUUCAUAAACUCACAGGCAGCGGAGGGGAAAUGGGGCUGGGGUGAGGCCAGCAAGGAGCAUCUCCACCUCGGGAGCCUCUUUGCUGUUCUCUGUUGAUGCUUGGCCGGCUCCUGGUCCAUGUCUCCAUCCUCAUCCUCCUGGAGCCAGCUCAUUCCCAACUCAAACCAUCCUGCAACAAGAAGUCUUCAUCCCAUGCAGCUGCCAUCUUGUGUCAUUUUGCAGAUGCUAUGUCACUAUCUUCUUCUAGGGUGAGGGUGUAAAGGGAGCAGGGAGGCCAGGAGCAGUGGCUCAUGCCUGUAAUCUCAGCACUUUGGGAGGCCAAGCCAGGUGGAUUGCCAGAGGUCAGGAGUUCAAGACCACCCUGGCCAACAUGGUGAAACCCCGCCUCAACUAAAAAUACAAAAAUUAGCCAGGCAUGAUGGCGGGUGCCUAUAAUCCCAGCUACUCGGGAGGCUGAAGUGAGAGAAUCACUUGAACCUGGGAGGCAGAGGUUGCAGUGAACCGAGAUCACGCCAUUGCACUCCAGCCUGGGCAACAAAGUGAGACUCCAUCUCAAAAAGAAAAAAAAAAAAAGGAGCAGGAAAAGGAGUUUACGACUUUAGCAAUCUUUAGAGGGACUCUAGUAAAGUGAUGUUUCUCCAAGUAGAUUGAUGGGGGGAAGUGCAUACAUGUAUUCUCAGGGGUUCAUGAGUUCUCUCCAAGAAUUUUUAAGUGAUGUGUUUUUAUUUCAAUGAUUAUGUGAUUAAAUUAAUAGUCAUAUAUUCUAGGGAUUAAGGCUGCUAACUCUUGCAUCAAAGAUCCUGGAUGCAAAUCCUGACGUUGCCAAGCAACAAAUUGAAUUGAGCCCUUGCAACUAGGCUCCUAAAUGAUCUGAGAAGUUGAAUGCAGCAAACAAGUUUUCCUCUUGACCUUCUUCUCCUUCCUCCCCAUCUAGGCAACUCAGAAUCUGGUUAUAGCUUGUAUUUACAGUUAGGUCCUGGCCUUUGGUGCAAGACUUUCUGGUGGGGGUGACUCUUGAGCUGAGAAGGGAUCCACCAGGCUGGUAUGUUACAUAACCAUUACACUCACUUCUACAGUGCCUUCUGGUAGAAGAUGUCUUCUCCCUAUGCAUUUGGUCCUGACAAAAACUAUGUGAGGAAUCUCCAGGAUAGCCAAAGAGUCCAGCUUAAAGGUAGCCAGCCAGAAAAAGUGCCCAAACCACGCAGUGAGAUCACACCUUUGAAGACCCCACCUUGGCAUAGACUCUACGGCUUUCACGAAUGAUGCUGAGCUCUCAGCAGCACCAGAACCUCAGGCUCUGACACCCACAAAGCUGCAGGUCUCCAGGGCUGCUUGGGCCAAAAGGACAUUGGCACUGGAUUUAGAGCCCACCAGAUAAUUUGGGAUGAUCUUCUUCAUAUCAAGAUCCUUCACAUCUGCAAAGAUCCUUUUUCCAUAUAAGGCUCCAAAUCACCAAACUUCUUUGCCUCUCUGGGAAAACUAAAUGACCCACCACUUCAGAAGAAGGUCAUGGGGUCUGUGCACAGCUUUUCACAUCCUCCCUGAAACACCAACACGCCCGGUCCAGGUUAAAGGAUAUCAGCACUGCCACACACUCUUCUUUUUCCCAAAUUAAUCAAGAAGUAGGAAUUUCUGACAAAUGCCAUCUGCUGAUUUUUCAGAGAGACAAGUUUUGGUGGUGUGACCAGCAGGUGCCUCGGCUUUUUCUAGCAUGCAGUACCAAAAUAGUCACCAUGGCAACCCUGGGAGGGCAGACUUCCAAAGAGAUGCAUUGUGAGCUCAGAAACUCUAGAGCACUUUCAAGCUAAAAGGAAGGAGGCUCAGCAGUGGGUUUCCAACUGUGGCAAGUAGCGGCUUCUCCCCACAUCCCUGGGCUGGACCCCAGGCCCCUGCAUACUGGGCACAGCCAGGACCCCCCGACCCCAGGGCCUGUGCUUCUAGGAAGAGGGGGAAAAUUGAAUUUGUGGGGAGUGGCAGGCAGGUGGAGCAGGCAACUCCCAGAUUUCUUGCAGGAGCUAAAGUAGCAUGGAGGGUGAUAAAUGGUGCCCACCUGGGUUGGGAGGCAGGAGAAUUGGGUUGAAAUACCUGCCCUGUCACUUGCUAACCAAUGACCUUGGGCAAUUGACUUGGCCUUUCUGACUCUCAGCUUCUCAUUUUCAAAAUGGGAGUGGUGAGCUUGCACUGCCUCUUCACAGGGAAAAUUGUGGAUAUGAUAGGAAGCUUGUGAAGACUGUUGGGAAAGUGCUCAGUGGACAGUGCAAAGCAGAAGAGAACAGGGAUUUGGGGAUCAGAAAGCUUGGGUUCCAGACCAGGCUCUGCUGCUUUCUAAUCUUAUGAGCUUGGGAAAGUCAUAGAGCUUGUCAAACCUACUCGCUCACCUUGGAAGAAGGCUCAGAAGCCCUGCCUCACAGAGUGGAUGUGCAGGUUAUCUGGGCUCUUUCUGUGACCUGGGAUUUUACACUCCCCUUCAGUGCAGACACCAAGACAGGAUGGACAAUACAGAGGAUUUUACUAGGGGAAACAUCUGUGAGAUAAAAAUGGGGAGGGAGCUGGUAGAGGCUAGAAGAGAGGAAAGGCUGGGAGAGCCAUCACACCUUGAUGCAAGUCUGACCUAAGUGCAGGAGGGAGGGAAGCAAGUUUGGGUGGAAGCUCCUAGACUGCCUAUAGCAAGGCCAUCAGAGAGUCCUCAAGCCAAAGUCACCUAUCAGAGAAGUUCCCUGUUUCUUGGAGACAGGUCUGCCUUAGUAUCCCUGCCACACUCAGUUGCUGAUUGUCUAGAAGCAGCCAACAGGAAGAGUGGCCUCUACAUAAAUAUGGGUGCAAGCAGCUGGAGGCCAUGAUCAACUGAACUCUCUCUUCAGGAGACAUAUUCUUAUGGCCACCACACCUACCCAAUCCUGAUGUCUUUUGCUUGAACAUCCACAUCAGGUACUUGGCCUCAGACCCACACCUCUACUUCAGAAGCCUUGUACCCCACAUCCAUGGUCCUCUUACCCAGAACAUUAUAGGAACUCAGGUUCAAUGAUGUCUUAGAAUACCACCCCUAGGAAAAAAAUAUAUUUUCUACAUCUCAAUUAGAUUAUGUAGCAAAGGUGCACAGGCAUUGUUCCAUUCUGCAUUUGAAUGUGCGUGUAUGUAGGAAUGCAUGCUUCUUUGUCAGUGUGCACGCAUAUGAACAGUAUAUUUGUAUAUAUAGAUGAGCAUUUAUAUCUACGUGUAUGCAUGUUGUGAAUUUAUGCAACAAUACCAUUAGCCCAUUAGCACUACAUAAGCAUUUUGCACACAGUAUCUUUGAUCUUUACAACCAUCUUUGAGGUAGAUAAGCAGGUAGUUUUGUAGGCACAAUCCUUGUUUCAGCUUAAAUGUUUUCCCCAACAUGCCACUCAGAUAACACAAGGUAGAGCCAUGGUUUGAACAGAAAUGUCUUCCUUCAAAGUUUCAGCUCUUGUCCUUUCUUCCACCCACCCCCAUCCCACCUACUCAUAUGACUAUGUGUUGCAUGAAAGCACAUACGUGUGCAUAUAGAAAAAAGAUUCAGAUGGGGAGGGGAAUAUAGCUGGAGAAGUAUAGAUUGAUUAUGGAUUGGUGACUGGUGAAAAGUAUUUCUGCCAGAAGCCCCCACACUACAAAAUGUAAUCCUAUUAAUGUGUGUCAUCUAAAAACAUAUAUUGUAUCCUAGCUGUAAGAAUUUCUAUUUAAUGGGCUACAAAGACAAAUUUUGGAGAUCCUAAGCAAUUUGAGUCUCUUAUUCUUCUAGUAUAAUCAAACAGUGAUCCACUUUCUUGGCCUUCCCCCAGAAUCCUUGCUCCCAUGGCAAGUUUUUCAGCCCAACUGGUGGAAAUUGUUUUGUCCUGAUUGAGAGGUAUUAAAGAAAAAAUAUCUACCCCAGCACCUUAGUUUUCUAAAUCACUUGUCUUUGCUUGUUUCCUAGCAGCAUGAAAUACUAGUCUGGAG
rnacentral:lncRNA from 10 species